rnacentral:rRNA from 1 species
UACAGAGGGGGCAAGCGUUGUUCGGAAUUACUGGGCGUAAAGGGCGCGUAGGCGGCCUUCUAAGUCGAACGUGAAAUCCCCGGGCUCAACCCGGGAACUGCGUCCGAUACUGGAAGGCUUGAAUCCGGGAGAGGGAUGCGGAAUUCCAGGUGUAGCGGUGAAAUGCGUAGAUAUCUGGAGGAACACCGGUGGCGAAGGCGGCUCUCUGGGACGGUACUGACGCUGAGACGCGAAAGCGUGGGGAGCGAACAGG